UUGCUAGCUUUGGCAGCACAUAUAGUAAAAUUGGAAUGAUAUGGAUAAGACUGAUUAGCAUGGCCCUGGUGCAAGAACUAUGUGAAGCAUUCCAUAUUUUU
ensembl:snRNA U6 U6 spliceosomal RNA